rnacentral:rRNA from 1 species
GGGACGAACGCUGGCGGCAUGCCUAAUACAUGCAAGUCGAACGAACUCUUCGGAGUUAGUGGCGCACGGGUGCGUAACGCGUGGGAAUCUGCCCCUUGGUUCGGAAUAACAGUUGGAAACGACUGCUAAUACCGGAUGAUGACGAAAGUCCAAAGAUUUAUCGCCAAGGGAUGAGCCCGCGUAGGAUUAGCUAGUUGGUGAGGUAAAGGCUCACCAAGGCAACGAUCCUUAGCUGGUCUGAGAGGAUGAUCAGCCACACUGGGACUGAGACACGGCCCAGACCCCUACGGGA